GGCCUUUAGAACCCCUCUCUCUCUCUCUCUCUCUCUCUCUCUCUCUCUCUCUCUCUCUCUCUGGAUGUUGGUGCAGACCUGGGCUGCCACAGUGGAGUCAACAGGAGCCUGAACAAGUCUCAGCAGGUCCCCAGUGUGACCCCCCUUUGGGUCAGCACCAAGAAAGGAGGGUUUUAGUUAAAUAAGAGCUUUCUGAGAAUGGGGCAAUGGAAUUUCUGUUCAAAAGAGUGAGUGUGUGUGUGUGUGUGUGGGGGGGUGCUAUUCUUGGUGAUGAAGAAGCAGAACCUGGCUUCCAGUUUAGCCCCAAUCAUCCAAAGGAAUUCAGUGGCAAAGUACAAGAGGGAGAAGGAUGAGGUCAUCACGAAAUAAUAGAGACUGAGACCUUAACCACAUUGAAAUGAAGCCAUUUUCUUCCAGAUUCCUUAGUAAGCUUUCAGUGUGGCCCCUUCUAGAGAAUGCACUAUGCGAAGUAGAAAAUAUAGGUGCAAUGGCCAUGUUGCCAUAUUUUAAUUGUAAUUCAACCUCAAGAAAUACAGUUCUGUCUUACUUUUUAUUGACACAUAUAUCAUGUCAAUAUUAUUUCAAAGGACCUUUUAGCCCACGUGGCUCCUUGGGUCAGCAGCAGGAGUCACCUCCAGGAUGACAGUACUGUAGCUCAAACUUAACCAGAUUCAUCCACUCCUCUCCUCUCCCCUCUUCCUCCCUUUCUUUCUUUCUUUCUUUCUUUCUUUCUUUCUUUCUUUCUUUCUUUCUUUCUUUCUUCCUUUCUGCCCAGCUAAUGGAUAAUUUUGGGGUCUAGUUUCCUUUAAAAAAAAAUCAAAAAAUUUGUUAAGAUAGACAACCUUUGCCCUAUUGAUCCUUAACCAUUUUGUGGUGCAAAGACGCAGGCGCAGUCCUAACCUUGCACUUCACAGUCUGCAUUGUACCUAAAUCGCCAAAACCUUGCCCCAAUUUUUAGGCAAUAGAUCUGGAGCCAGGUAAUCAGGAAGAAACCGAUGGCCCAAGGAGUUAGAUGAAGGCGAUGGGUCAAAAUCUAACUCUGUCCUUCUACCCUCGCAUGACACUGAAUCUUCCGUCUUGAUCUUUAAGGAUGCGGGCCUUAGCUCUCUGCUGCUCGCCUCUGUAGUUUGUUCCUUCUCAGUCUCUUCGGACUAAUGCACUCCUGGGCUGUACUGUCCUUCCAUGCACUAAGGCGCAAUACACACCAAGCUUUUCCCAGCCCCCGGGAGGAGGCGCUGGUGGCCGGGUCGCGCAUCUCCUUCCUCCCAGUCAGAGUUCUGGAGCCCCCAUUCACAAAGCCCCGCUUGCAAAGGACACACACACACACACACACACACACACACACACACACUCACGCCCCACACGCACUGCUUGGAGGGCAGUUUGAUCUUGUCUCAUUGGCGUCUCCGGCCUGAAAAGAAAAUCAUUUGGGUAAACAGCCAAGCUUCCAGGCUUAACGCCCCGCUCCCGCCUCCGCCCCUCUGUCCCUCCCGCCUCCCCCACUCCCCUUCAACCCCACCCGCCACCCACACUUCGCUCCGCUGCCGGGCCUCCAGCGAGCUCCGCGCGUCCGAGAGGGAGCUAAGGGCUCCCUGGUUCAAAGGGCCGCAGCCCCGAGGGGAUGCCCUCCUCGUGUGCCCCGGGGUGCAGAAGCAGACUGCAGGGCGGUGGGACCAGCCUGGGCCACGGUGAUAUCACCACCAUUGACUCCCUAAACUCACCAAGUAUUGAAGAUGCAGGCACAAUGUCUGGGAGACUCUGGCACCACCAAAACUCUUACUUAGAAUAUAUUCUAUACUGACUUCUGGAAGGGCUGGCCAGAUCCUUCUAGGAAGAAAAUGAACUGGGAGGAGAGUGAGGCAAAGCCACUGGAAGCUAUGCCCCUGAACCACAGUCAUUCUGCACAGAAAGGUCACCCACAGACAGUCGAAGGAAGAAAUGUCACUCAAACUUGACAUCGUGGAAGAAACAUGACACGUGGAUUAUUAAAGAGCAGCUGGCUGACUUUUAACCCUAGCUGCAUUGCUCAGACCCUAUUACCUGUGCACUUAUACCAGGAAGAAUUACAGGGUAUGUGAACCACAAAGAGGAGAUGAGAAAACAGAGUGAUGGAGUAGUCAGAAAUGACUCCAUCUGACAGAAGAGCCAGGAGGCAAGUGAUGGAUACUAUUGUCCAGACGUGACCCUCCAUUAACACUACCUAUCAGCAUCUGGAUCCUGUCAUUGGUCGACGUCCCAGAGCCAAGAAGACUGCCUGGCAUAGUCCAAGCACUUCUGAGGUUUCAGAGCUCGUUCAACCCUUCACCAAAUGAAGAGGCUCAUCAACAUUAACCUCAUACCUGGAACCACACCAUUCUUCUCUUUCAGUCGGUGUUCAGUGUCCUACUCAGCUCUUUUAUUUACAAUGCCUGGACCGUCAUAAGGAGGCAAAACAGCUCACCAUGGGCUUCCCAGAGAGUAAGUGACAGAAGAGAGAUCUGAAGCAGCAUGGAAAGCAAGGUGUGGUGGCUCAGCACACCUUGAUGCACUCAGAAGGCAGAGUCUGGAAGAUUACCACAAAUUCAAGGCAAUCACAGUGAGUUCCAUGCCGGGUAGGGAUUCAUAGCAAGAUUCUGUCACAAACUAAUUAACCAACUAACUAGCUAACCAACUAACUAACUAACCAACUAACUAACUACUCAACCAGCCACUGAACAGACAAAAACAGGACUGAAUUGGAUGUAGUGGUGCAUGCAUGUAAUCUAAUUAUUCAGGUAGUGGAUUGAGGUAGAAGGAUCUCAAAUUUAAGGGUAGCCUGCACACUUUGGAAUACUCCUUUUUCAAAAACCUUAAAAAAAUGACAAGUGAUGAUGAUAUGAUUCCAAUGAUUUAAUUCUUUUUCUGCAACAUGCACACACACACACACACACACACACACACAC